rnacentral:rRNA from 1 species
CGAAUGACUCUCGGCAAUGGAUAUCUCGGCUCUUGCAUCGAUGAAGAACGUAGUGAAAUGCGAUACUUGGUGUGAAUUGCAGAAUCUCGUGANCCAUUGAGUCUUUGAACGCAAGUUGUGCCAGCGGCCUUGUGGUCGAGGGCACGCCUGCUUGGGCGUCAUGG